GUGAGGAAUAUUGGUCAAUGGACGAGAGUCUGAACCAGCCAAGUAGCGUGCAGGAUGACGGCCCUAUGGGUUGUAAACUGCUUUUAUACAGGGAUAAAGUGGGGAACGUGUUCCCUUUUGUAGGUACUGUAUGAAUAAGGACCGGCUAAUUCCGUGCCAGCAGCCGCGGUAAUACGGAAGGUCCGGGCGUUAUCCGGAUUUAUUGGGUUUAAAGGGAGCGCAGGCUGAUGAUUAAGCGUGACGUGAAAUGUAGCCGCUCAACGGCUGAACUGCGUCGCGAACUGGUUAUCUUGAGUGAGUUCGAUGUUGGCGGAAUUCGUGGUGUAGCGGUGAAAUGCUUAGAUAUCACGAAGAACUCCGAUUGCGAAGGCAGCCAACAAGGCCUUUACUGACGCUAAAGCUCGAAGGUGCGGGUAUCGAACAGG
rnacentral:rRNA from 1 species